rnacentral:rRNA from 1 species
GAUCCUGGCUUAGGACGAACGCUGGCGGCGUGCUUAGCACAUGCAAGUCGAACGGGGAUAAUGGCGGAAAGCUUCGGCCGGAAGACAUUAUCGAGUGGCGGACGGGUGAGUAACGCGUGAGCAAUCUGUCCCAGACAGGGGGAUAACACUUGGAGACAGGUGCUAAUACCGCAUAAGACCACGGUGUCGCAUGGCACAGGGGUAAAAGGAGCGAUCCGGUUUGGGGUGAGCUCGCGUCCGAUUAGCCAGUUGGCGGGGUAACGGCCCACCAAAGCGACGAUCGGUAGCCGACCUGAGAGGGUGAUCGGCCACAUUGGAACUGAGAGACGGUCCAAACUCCUACGGGAGGCAGCAGUGGGGAAUAUUGGGCAAUGGGCGAAAGCCCUGACCCAGCAACGCCGCGUGAGUGAAGAAGGCCUUCGGGUUGUAAAGCUCUGUUACAGGUGACGAAGGAAGUGACGGUAACUUGUAAGGAAGCCCCGGCUAACUACGUGCCAGCCGCGGC